rnacentral:misc_RNA from 1 species
GUUUACUUAAAAUAAUCUGAUGCUGCUCUCUCCACCUGGUGGUUUACGAACGCCACCAUAGCAAACUCUGGAUUCAGCUUUACCAUCGGAGAAUAUACCGCUACCACUCAUUUCUCUCAGCUUAGACCUGCUCAGUGACUUCUCGGAAGAUCCAGGAGGAGUGACAGCGUCUCCCUUGAAGAUGCCAUUGCCGUUCAACUCUGCAACUUUCUGGUUAUGUAUUUUCUUUACU